rnacentral:rRNA from 1 species
UACGUAGGAUGCAAGCGUUAUCCGGAAUCAUUGGGCGUAAAGCGUUCGUAGGUGGUUUGGAAAGUUUGUGGUUAAAUCUGGUCGCUCAACGAUCAACUCGCCACAAAAACUCCCAAACUUGAGAUUGGCAGAGGCAACUGGAAUUCCACAUGUAGGGGUAAAAUCCGUUGAUAUGUGGAGGAACACCAAAAGCGAAGGCAGGUUGCUGGGCCACUUCUGACACUCAAGAACGAAAGCGUGGGGAGCAAACAGG